rnacentral:rRNA from 1 species
UCCCAGUUCGGAUUGUAGUCUGCAACCCGACUACAUGAAGCUGGAAUCGCUAGUAAUCGCGGAUCAGAAUGCCGCGGUGAAUACGUUCCCGGGUCUUGUACACACCGCCCGUCACACCAUGGGAGUUUGUAACGCCCAAAGUCGGUGGCCUAACCUUUAUGGAGGGAGCCGCCUAAGGCGGGACAGAUGACUGGGGUGAAGUCGUAACAAGGUAUC